GUUGCUGGUUGUCACUGAUUCUGGCACAUUGUUUGGAGUGUAAUGACACAGGGAUGUUUAACUUCAUCCCUCACCUUAGUGAGGCACUUGUAUCCAUCAAAAAAAGUAUCCUAUCUCCAUGGCAACAUGUCAAUCCUCCUGUGUCACUAAGGCGUUCCCCUUCUUUGUCACCGCAGGGAAGGAAGGUGCUGUUCUGGAGCUGCGUGUGUGCGCUGGGAUGAGUCCACACGUGCACCGACACACACGGAGCAGCCGUUUGAAGGCAAAAAUAUCAGAGAGCUGAACUUCCUCUGGAAGGAGAACAAGCAAGACCGAAACACUUGGGGGCUCCUGCUGCUGUCCUGUGACACAGGGAUUCAGAGGGAUUGCCUCUCCCAGCCUUAAGGGGUGGAGAAUUGCUCACAGAAGUUGCGGACUGCUGUUGGAAUUCAGGCACUUAUGACUGAGCUUUUGUUGGUGCAAGUGUUUAUACACAUGAACUCUUUAGAACUGCAUAUUCUGAACUUCACCCAAGGGGAAAGACGGCAUCAUUAGUCAUCAUUUUACGACAGAGGACACUGUGCAUGAGAACACACUUUUCCAAGAAC